UACGAAGGGGGCUAGCGUUGCUCGGAAUGACUGGGCGUAAAGGGCGCGUAGGCGGUUUGUACAGUCAGGUGUGAAAUUCCCGGGCUCAACCUGGGGGCUGCACUUGAUACGUAUGGACUGGAGUGGGGAAGAGGGUCGUGGAAUUCCCAGUGUAGAGGUGAAAUUCGUAGAUAUUGGGAAGAACACCGGUGGCGAAGGCGGCGACCUGGUCCUUGACUGACGCUGAGGCGCGAAAGCGUGGGGAGCGAACAGG
rnacentral:rRNA from 1 species